CUAUAUAAUAUUGAUGUUAUUUAUACACAGGGAGACGAUGAAAUUUGAAACAAACGUCAAACUGGCUAUGUCUACAUGUUGAGCGCCUCCCUACCCGUUCUGUUCUUCGUGGGGCCUAUGCUUCCUGCAAGCUACGACGACGUCUGGAUAAUUGCUUCAUUUGCAUGUAUCUAGGGAGUCUUGCGGAAUGUUUGGCACGAGAUUCGAGAGGAGCUUUAGUCGACAUUUCAGCCGCAUACUAUAUGCCACAUUUUUUGCACUUGUGAUUUACAGUAUAUAUCUUCUCGUCAUGCGUCUAACUAUGUCUUUGGUGCUCCUCUACCAUCGCUGUCACUAGCUCCUGCAAAUCAUGACAGAUUAUUCUGGAGGAUAGUGUUCUUCCUCAUCGGCGUGGUGUGGUUUUUUCUGAGCAUUUCGCUUUGUGGGCAAUGUGUUGCAAGUCUGAUGCUGAUCAAGAUUUGGAUGCUUAGAAAACGGAACAGAUUUUAUCAGUGGUUCGGGGACGUUGUUGGUCUUGUGAUGAUUGGGAUCAUUUUAUUCACCCUAGUUCCAUAUGUCAACAACUUACAAUGGGUGUUGUGCACCGUUUUCUGUAUAUACUCUAUUACUCUUCGCUCUUGUGUCAUACCUAUUAUGACUUGUUGUAUGAUAAAUAAUAUUAAC